AUAAAAUGUGGUACCUCCUCAAUCAACAUUGACACAAAAAAUAUAAGGACUUACAUUUGGAGACAGACAUUAACACAUUGUUUUAUGUGCACAAAACUUUAGAAGAUUUGUAAACCCUUCACACCAUUGAUUUUUCUCCAUUUCAAAGGAGAAAAGGUAGAAGAAAAAGAAUCCCUUUAAAAGGAAUAGCAGUAGGUAAGACUAAUGGAGUGCUAACCGUGUGCCAGACACACCAUCACGAUGGCCUCAUGAUGCUGGCACAAUUUUAAUUUUAGAUUGAAGGCUUAGUAGACACAUGGAGCAACUUGACCAAAAUCAAGUAUUUUGCUAGUUGUAGAACCACAAUUUGAUCUCAGACUGCCUGACUCCAGAGCCCAUAAUCUUAACCAAUUUGUUAAAUAAAAUAUAUAGACAAGCGUCACAAGUCUUAUAUUUCAAAUACCCUAAUGCAUGAUGCUUAUUUCUUUAUAUUUCUUUCAAGAAGAAAACACAAAUAAAAUCCAUCCAAAAGAGUCUUCACUUGGAGAAGCACUAAUCAAUGACAAAGAAGAACCUCUGUUCCUGUGAAUUUCAAAUGCAUCCACAUCAAAACUAAUAGUCAAAACAAAAACCCAAGUUGUUGUAUAAACUCCAGCCAUACGCAGUGAUCACCUUAGUUUUAUAACAGUAGAGACAGCAACAGGACACUGGUAAGUGCUUCUGGCAAUGACAAAAAUUCUUUUGAUCUUAAUCUCAAUGUCUUCAAAUUGUGACUUUUAAGUCUUUUUAAUCAAACUGGCUUUAGAAGUAUUCUCCAGGCAACAUUCAGAGAUUCUCUGCUUUCUGAUUAGUGUCCACUGUGUCCACCUUUUAGCCCUCUCAGUUGAUGACAAGACUGAGCCUUAAAAGGGGAGCAGUAAAUGAGAGCUGACUUGGGGACCCCAGGUGCUACUUAUGCCUCAUUGAUGAUUUACUUCUCCUCCUCAGUCACCUGAUGAAAUCUAGCCCUCUCCCUUCUUCCCCUCUUUCCCAAGAUAUUUACCCCCUUACUAAGAAGGGGUCAGGAGCUGGUCUGGCAGGAGCCACCGGAGUCUGGUCCAAGUGGGGCUUCGGGGGACACUCGGGUACAGAGAAAGCACUGGGGUUUGGAGUUACACAGGCUUAAAUUCUGCCUUUAUUUCUUACUGGCUGUAUUACUCCAGGCAGGUCAAUUGACCUCUCUGAGACGCAACGUUUUGUUCCACGAAAUGUGGAUAACAAAGCCCAUCUCGUAAGACUGUUAAAAAUACCCAUAAGUCAAUGUAUGUAAAGCACCUAUCGCAGUGCUGCAUUCAUGCCAGGUGCUCAGAUAGUUUCUUUCUUUUUAUCCCCACUUAUCCUUUCUCCUGAUGCCAGCAGCCUCUCUGGAGAUCAGGAGCCCUCUUCACCCUGAGUCAUGUUCACCCCGCUGCCU
rnacentral:lncRNA from 1 species